CCUAAAAUGUAACGGAGGCGCCCUAAGGUUCCCUCAGCGCAGUUGGAAAUCGCGCGUCGAGUGUAAAGGCACAAGGGAGCUUAACUGUGAGACAAACAGGUCGAACAGAUGCGAAAGCAGGGCUUAGUGAUCUUGUGGUUUCUGUAUGGAAAGGCCAUGACUUAUCGGAUAAAAGGUACUCCGGGGAUAACAGGCUAAUAACCCCCAAGCGUCCAUAGCGACGGGGUUGUUUGGCACCUCGAUGUCGGCUGGUCUCAUCCCGGGGCUGAAGCAGGUCCCAAGGGUUUGGCUGUUCGCCAAUUAAAGAGGCACCCGAGCUGGGUUUAGAACGUCGCAAGACAGUUCGGUCCCUAUCUGCCGUGGGCGUAGGAUAUUUGAGAGGAGCUGCCCCUAGUAUGAGAAGACCGGGGUGGACAGAUCUCUGAUGUACCAGUUGUCAUGCCAAUGGCAUCGCUGGGUAGUUAUAUCUGGAAAGGAUAAGCGCUGAAAGCAUAUAAGCGCGAAGCCUCCCUCAAGAUUAGAUAUCCCACAUUUGUUAAGGACCCUUCAAGACCAGGAGGUUGAUAGGCCGGAAGUGUAAGCAGUAUAAGCUGUUCAGCUAACCGGUACUAAUUGUCCGAGGGCUUGAUCAC
rnacentral:rRNA from 1 species